AAGAUAAACAGAAUGAUGCAUAGUGUGCAUGAUCUGGCCCAGCCUUUGUCUCUUGGCUUCAUUUAUUAUGUCUCACUCUGUGCUCUAGCUUUGUAGGUUUUGAAAGCGUCACGCCUUCUUCCUCCAGAUCCCUCGCACAUGCUGUUCCCUCAUCUUGAAGUGUCCUUCUGCCAUUUAUAAGGAUCAAGUUCAGAUGGCUUACGGUUGAGAUACAUGUUGCUAUGGCAGCAGGAAGAAAAUGAUGGAAAAGAAGAAAACAAAAAGCAAGAAAAAGUGAGAAAUCAAAGGACAACAUUUUCAAGGAUGAAGAGUGCUACAUCUAUUCAUUAUACAUUGUAGAUAUAGAUAAUAACAAUAGUAAUAAUGUGGUCAAAUUUUAAUAAAUAAAAAAUUGAGUUAAGC
rnacentral:lncRNA from 10 species